CUUUGACGCUCCCAGGAGGAAGAAAGCACCUGUCUCACUACCGUGCCAGCAGGCGCGGUAAUACGGAGGGUGCAAGCGUUAAUCGGAAUUAGCGGGCAGUAAACCGCACGCAGGGCGGUCCCUCAAGUCGGAUGUGAAAUCGUUGGCCUCAACGUGGGAACCUUCAUUAGAAACUGGCAUACUAGAGUCUUGUAGAGGGGCGUAGAACUACAGGUGUAGCGGUGAAAUGCGUAGAGAUCUGGAGGAAUACCGGUGGCGAAGGCGGCCCCCUGGACAAAGACUGAUGCUCAGGUGAGAAAGCGUGGGGAGCAAACAGGAUUAGAUACCCCUGGUAGUCCACGCCGUAAACGAUGUCGACUUGGAGGUUGCGCCCUUGAGGCGUGGCUUCCGGAGCUAACGCGUUAAGUCGACCGCCUGGGGAGUACGGCCGCAAGGUUAAAACUCAAAUGAAUUGACGGGGGCCCGCACAAGCGGUGGAGCAUGUGGUUUAAUUCGAUGCAACGCGAAGAACCUUACCUACUCUUGACAUCCAGAGAACUUUCCAGAGAUGGAUUGGUGCCUUCGGGAACUCUGAGACAGGUGCUGCAUGGCUGUCGUCAGCUCGUGUUGUGAAAUGUUGGGUUAAGUCCCGCAACGAGCGCAACCCUUAUCCUUUGUUGCCAGCGGUCCGGCCGGGAACUCAAAGGAGACUGCCAGUGAUAAACUGGAGGAAGGUGGGGAUGACGUCAAGUCAUCAUGGCCCUUACGAGUAGGGCUACACACGUGCUACAAUGGCGCAUACAAAGAGAAGCGACCUCGCGAGAGCAAGCGGACCUCAUAAAGUGCGUCGUAGUCCGGAUUGGAGUCUGCAACUCGACUCCAUGAAGUCGGAAUCGCUAGUAAUCGUAGAUCAGAAUGCUACGGUGAAUACGUUCCCGGGCCUUGUACACACCGCCCGUCACACCAUGGGAGUGGGUUGCAAAAGAAGUAGGUAGCUUAACCUUCGGGAGGGCG
rnacentral:rRNA from 1 species